rnacentral:lncRNA from 1 species
GGGAAACUAGGACAUGGUCCAAAUAUCUGCUAUCCAUUGAACACCUGCUCUGCGCCAAGUAACUUCCAAUGGGCUUUGAAGUCUUACUCCUUCUCACCUAAACUUCAUAAGAGCUUCAGUCUGCAUCAUCAACUACCCAGGGAGGAAUUUCAACUUCCACACAGAGACCUUCAUCUCUGAGACCCCAUACAGGUGCGUCUGAGACCCCAGAAAGUACUGCAGGAAAUGUUCAAAGAGAAUGGAAGCCAAGAAUGUUUACCUGAGGUCACCUAGUAUCAAGCCAGG